rnacentral:rRNA from 1 species
AGUGAACGCUGGCGGUAGGCCUAACACAUGCAAGUCGAACGGCAGCACAGUAAGAGCUUGCUCUUACGGGUGGCGAGUGGCGGACGGGUGAGGAAUACAUCGGAAUCUACUUUUUCGUGGGGGAUAACGUAGGGAAACUUACGCUAAUACCGCAUACGACCUACGGGUGAAAGCAGGGGAUCUUCGGACCUUGCGCGGUUGAAUGAGCCGAUGUCGGAUUAGCUAGUUGGCGGGGUAAAGGCCCACCAAGGCGACGAUCCGUAGCUGGUCUGAGAGGAUGAUCAGCCACACUGGAACUGAGACACGGUCCAGACUCCUACGGGAGGCAGCAGUGGGGAAUAUUGGACAAUGGGCGCAAGCCCGAUCCAGCCAUACCGCGUGGGUGAAGAAGGCCUUCGGGUUGUAAAGCCCUUUUGUUGGGAAAGAAAAGCAGCAGGUUAAUACCCCGCUGUUCUGACGGUACCCAAAGAAUAAGCACCGGCUAACUUCGUG